UACGUAGGGGGCAAGCGUUAUCCGGAAUUACUGGGUGUAAAGGGAGAGUAGGCGGCGAAGUAAGUAAGAUGUGAAAGCCCUCGGCUUAACUGAGGGAUUGCAUUUUAAACUAUUUUGCUAGAGUGCAGGAGAGGAAAGCGGAAUUCCUAGUGUAGCGGUGAAAUGCGUAGAUAUUAGGAAGAACACCAGUGGCGAAGGCGGCUUUCUGGACUGUAACUGACGCUGAGGCUCGAAAGCGUGGGGAGCAAACAGG
rnacentral:rRNA from 1 species